rnacentral:miRNA from 1 species
UUUGACAUGCUUGUUCUAGAUU